AUUGAACGCUAGCGGGAUGCCUUACACAUGCAAGUCGAACGGAGUGGCGAACGGGUGAGUAAUGUAUCGGAACGUGCCCAGUAGCGGGGGAUAACUACGCGAAAGCGUAGCUAAUACCGCACACUAUUGGAGCGGCCGAUAUCGGAUUAGCUAGCUGGUGGGGUAACGGCUCACCAAGGCGACGAUCCGUAGCUGGUUUGAGAGGACGACCAGCCACACUGGGACUGAGACACGGCCCAUACCCCUGCGGGAGGCAGCAGGGGCGAAUUUUGGACGAUGGGGGAAGCCCUGAUCCAGCCAUCCCGCGUGUGCGAUGAAGGCCGUCGGGUUGUAAAGCACUUUUGGCAUGAAAGCGGUACCUGCAGAAUAAGCACCGGCUAACUACGUGCCAGCCGCCGCGGUAAUAC
rnacentral:rRNA from 1 species